UAGCCAUGUUGUGGGCAGCGAUGUAGUAAAUCUUUGUAUCGCUCUCAUGCCUCAUAGAAAGGCUCAUAUUCAAAUUGUUUGAACUGCCCAAUUUCACUCCUCAACUG